rnacentral:rRNA from 1 species
CAAUAGCGUAUAUUAAAGCUGUUGCAGUUAAAAGCUCGUAGUUGGAUCUCGGGUCCAGACUAGCGGUUCACCUCGCGGUGAUUACUGCCCGUUCUGACCUACCUACCGGUUGUCCCUUGGUGCUCUUGACUGAGUGUCUCGGGUGGCCGGAACGUUUACUUUGAAAAAUUAGAGUGUUCAAAGCAGGCAGUACGCCUGAAUAAUGGUGCAUGGAAUAAUGGAAUAGGACCUCGGUUCUAUUUUGUUGGUUUUCGGAACUUGAGGUAAUGAUAAAGAGGGACAGACGGGGGCAUUCGUAUUACGGUGUUAGAGGUGAAAUUCUUGGAUCGCCGUAAGACGAACUACUGCGAAAGCAUUUGCCAAGCAUGUUUUCCUUAAUCAAGAACGAAAGUCAGAGGUUCGAAGAUGAUCAGAUACCAU